rnacentral:misc_RNA from 1 species
CUCAUACGUGUUUCUUUUCAGACAACGAGAUCAAAGCAACUAUAUAUGAUUAAUUAUUUGGGAGGACAACACAUGCAUGGCUCUCAUGCUAUUCCAUCUGUACAAGAAAGAUGAAAAGUUUCAUUAAUUUAGAUGAGCCAAGAUACUCAUGAAUCAUGACUCUAUUUCAAAACUUGCACAUCAGGACUGCUUCUCCCAGAACAUGCCCCUCAAUUGCCUCCAACAUCUUCUCUUUUGUCACCUUGUUUCCAAGACUCAGUUCCUCAUCCAAAGCAAAGAGCUUGAACUCGAACCUAUGUCCAUGACUUGGAAGCUUGGGUCCACGCCACCCUGGAACCUUAUGGUCAUUGUUUCCUUCCUUGAUCCCUGUAUAAUCACCACCUGUUUCCUCUUCUUUCCCCGAGAAACCCUCAGGUAGCUUCUUUAACGUAGGGGGUAUAUUAACUACGACCCAGCAGGUCCAGGGAACAAUAGGACCUUCUGGGUCAGGUGCAUCUAUGUCCUGCACCACCAAGGCCAGGCUCCUGGUUCCUUCUGGCACAUUAUACCACUCCAGAGGUGGGGAUAGAUUCUUGCGUGCUCCUUGACCUUCCUCUGUGUACUUUCUUGGCAACCUUCCUUCAUGGUCUAUUGCAGGGGACACCAGCCUGAACUCAUCUGCCAUGGCUAGAAAGCUUUGUUGAUUUAUUGGUGAUGAAAGGAUGUUUGUGCCAAGGCAGCUUAUAGAGUAUGGUGGACAACGCAGAGAA